AAGAUACUAGUAAAACUGGUAUUACACUGCUUUGUCAAGGCAAAAUCGUGGGUUAGAACCCCACGUAUCUUA
rnacentral:tRNA from 1 species